GGUCUCCUGGUGUUUUCCAAGGGCUGUGUUCUUACACUGACUGUAUAGAAAGGGAGGGAAGGUAAAUCUACCUCAUAUACAUGUCUAUGUGCCUGGCCUGCAUUGUGAAUAGGGAGACAUGG
rnacentral:snoRNA from 1 species